rnacentral:sRNA from 1 species
GCUGGGCGCAGUGGCACAUGCCUGUAAUCCCAGCAGCUUGGGAGCCUGAGGCAGGAGAAUUGUGAGUUCAAAGCCAACCUCAGCAAAAGUGAGGCACUAAGCAACUCAGCAAGACCCUGUCUCUA